rnacentral:rRNA from 1 species
AGGACGAACGCUGGCGGCGUGCUUAACACAUGCAAGUCGAGCGGAAAGGCCCUUCGGGGUACUCGAGCGGCGAACGGGUGAGUAACACGUGAGCAACCUGCCCUUAGCUCCGGGAUAGCUCCGGGAAACCGGAAUUAAUACCGGAUACGACCACGGCCGACAUCUGCUGUGGUGGAAAGGAUUCCGGCUAAGGAUGGGCUCGCGGCCUAUCAGCUAGUUGGUGGAGUAACGGCCCACCAAGGCAACGACGGGUA